GCCGGGGUAGCUCAGCUGGGAGAGCAACAGACUGAAGCCCGACCUGUAGGAGUCUUCCACAACUUCGGUGCAUUCUGGAGGUCCCGUGUUCAAUCCACGGUCCUGGCA